GCUGGGCAUGGUGGUGGGUGCCUGUAAUCCCAGCUACUUGGGAGGCUGAGGCAGGAGAAUUGCUUGAACCUGGGAGGCAGUGGUUGCAGUGAGUCAAGAUUGAGCCACUGCACUCCAGCCUGGGCAACAGAGUGAGACCCUGUCUCUA
ensembl:misc_RNA Metazoa_SRP Metazoan signal recognition particle RNA